UACGAAGGGGACUAGCGUUGUUCGGAAUCACUGGGCGUAAAGCGCACGUAGGCGGAUGUGUCGGUCAGGGGUGAAAUCCCGGGGCUCAACCUCGGAACUGCCUUUGAUACAGCACGUCUCGAGUCCGGAAGAGGUGGGUGGAAUUCCUAGUGUAGAGGUGAAAUUCGUAGAUAUUAGGAAGAACACCGGUGGCGAAGGCGGCCCACUGGUCCGGUACUGACGCUGAGGUGCGAAAGCGUGGGGAGCAAACAGG
rnacentral:rRNA from 1 species